CCUAUGUAUCUGAAACACAAGGUCAAGAAGAAAUGUUUAGAAAGAGAUGCAUUGUUUUACGUUCUCGUACACACGUAAAAAUCUCACAACUUGUCAACAAGAUGUGUUCGCAACAGGCUUAUAGCAAGCUUGUCAAUAAGUUGUAACAAUGUUAUUUUAUCCAGUUCACAACUUGUUGACAAAUUGCUGAAUUGCAGGACGAUAACAAGUUGUUGGAACAACUUGUAACAAGUCUGUUGAGCUCAACAACCUUGUAGCAAGUUAUCAACAAGCUGGGAACAAGCAGUGCGAACACAUCCUGUUGACAAGUUGUUGGAACAGCAUUGCUACAAGCUUAGUGUGCUGCAGUUUGUUACAACUUGCGCGUUUGUACACACGUAAAAACGCACAAGUUGUUACAGGUCUGCAAACAAGUUGUUACAAAUCUGUUCACAAGCUGUCAACAAGUUGUCUUCGCACUGCUUGUUCCCAGUUGUUGUAACAAGUUUGGAACAAGCUGUUAACAACUUGGAACAAGCUUGAUGGCACUAUCAGACUUGUUACAAGGCUGAUAUAACAAGAAUAUUACAAGGUUGACGACACAAGGUUGUAACAAUAUUGUUAUAUCAUGACUGUAUCGGACUUGUUAGAACAAUCUUGCAAAAAAUCUGAUAAUAUCAACAAGGUUGUUACAAGUUGUUAAAAGCUUGUUCCAAACUUGUUGACAACUUGGGACAAGCAGUGCGAACACAACUUGUUGACGGUUUGUUGCCAGACUUGCUACAAGAUGCGAGAUUUUUACGUGUGUAUGUGGCACUGUCGUACACGUGUCUUUCACGUGACUGAAGUUGCAUUUCUGCAAGUUGUCUGAUCGAGGUGCCGGCUGCAUGUACGAAGGCCAGAUAGCCGAUUGCGCCGGAUAACGAUAACCAUUCCAGGAAUGCAUGAAAAGCUGUGAAACCACGGAUAAAGACCUUGCAAUUCAUAAAAAACCUUCAAUUUAUAAAUACUCGAGCUUAAUCUGGGUUAUACCAAUCAACGGACAAUGAAAAAAGAAGGCUUAAAAAAGUCAUUAGGCCAUAUAAAAAAAAAUAGUUGGUUAGCGUCCUUAGCUUUUGCCAAAAAGUGGGCGGGCGGGCGCUUUUUUUUAAUUUUUACUAAUUUUUAACGCCUUGGUUUUACUCACUGUUAGGUCCGAAACUGGAUUUUCUUGCGCAGUACAGAUAUUUUUUUAUAUAUUUCAAAAUAUAAUUCAUACCGUCAUUUUCGCAUGCAAUUUCGCAAAUUAUUAACACAAUUGACUACAGUCAACAGAAAUACUACAUAUAUUAGAGCCCGUUGAUCAAUAAAAGUCGGGUUUUUUUAAAUAAAAAAUCAAAAAAAAUCUUGAGCGGGGCCUUUUUUGUGGGCGAGCGGGGACGCUAACCAACUAUUUUUUUUAUGUGGCCUUAUCUGGCGGAUAGCGCUGUCUGGCUUCGUUACAACCAGCGGUGCUUCCAGCUUCAACUCGCAGUUUGACUCGACUAAACGGCAAACACCGCACUUUUUCUCCAGAUACUCCAGUUUCCUCCUGUAGUAACAUUGGAUCAACAAGAGAUAAUCGUUACUGGACACCUAGGGAGGACAGACCACCCACCUGAAGAAAAGUGUCUUACGAUCUCGUUUUCUGUAUAGCUUCAAACGUAUCAGAUUCUCUUGAACGGGACACACCGACGAAAGCUUGUGCCCAUUCAUGGAUCAUCAUCUACGUUGUCGUCUUAGACGGAAUGAAAUCAUCUGGCGUAAGACAGACUAAAAUAGUCUGGGAUUGGACUCAGUAAAAUCAUCUAGCGUUAGCAAACACAUUGGUAAAAGUAUUGUCUCGUACUUGUCCCUAGGGUCAUGGUAUUGCCCCACUUGGCCAAGAUGUCGUGAACCCCGAAGAGCCGUAUGAAACCAGGCGCAUUUGCGCAGUUCUGAAAUCGUUUAGUCCGGAAUGAACGAAGCCUCAGAUCAUGAUCUGGACGACUGCAUUAGCAAUUUUUAUCUGAAACCAGAACUCAUGUUUACUCGUGGUUUUAUAUAAGCAGCAUUAAUCCUGAAUGUAGUUUAUUCUCGUAGUUGUAUAUUAAAAAGCUGAAUAUGAAAUAGUGAAAUACUAUUCUAAACCAUAGUCUAUCGCAUGAUAGCAUGAUUUUAGCACAAUUCUCUAAGCGUCUUGGGGUUGAACUCAAAUGUAGGUUGUCUAGCGAUGCGCUUUGUUUACAGAUUAAGCGCCUAACCAGGCAACAAGAUAAAUUGUGAUCAUUAUAGUUAAUUUCUGUGAUAGAAAGCACGCCAACACGAGAAGACAUAAAGACUUACCCCGGUAUGUGAUAUGGGUCGGGAGUCAUCAGCGACGAGGUCUUUACGUUCAUUUUUGCGACGCCGAGUUGUCCUCAAACACGCUCAAAUAAUCGGAAAUAUUAUCUGCCUUGUCUAGUAUUAAAAUAUUUAGGCGUUUAGUUCUAAUUGGUAUGUUAAUUAUUUGCUGUUGACGUCAUAAAUUGAUUAUGAGCAUUCCAAGGUGUGUUUAUAGGAUUUGCGCUAAAAAUGCCGAAAUUGCAAUCAGAAAUACUUUAGUGUUGUUUGAUUCAUUUUUAUACCCAUUAAAUGCAAUAUUGAAAAAUUUCGUGGCUUGUGUCUGAACUAGCUGAAAAUAAUUCGUG
rnacentral:lncRNA from 1 species